UGCGUAGGCGGUUUGUUAAGUCAUUUGUAAAAGAUCUCAGCUCAACUGAGUAAGGCGAAUGAAACUGGCAGACUUGAAUACGGUAGAGGUAAGUGGAAUUCCAUGUGUAGCGGUGGAAUGCGUAGAUAUAUGGAGGAACACCAAUGGCGAAGGCAACUUACUGGGCCGGAAUUGACGCUGAGGCACGAAAGCGUGGGGAGCAAACAGGAUUAGCUACCCUGGUAGUCC
rnacentral:rRNA from 1 species